rnacentral:rRNA from 1 species
GAAGCGCUGACGCAGCAACGCCGCGUGAGUGAUGAAGGCCCUCGGGUCGUAAAGCUCUGUCGGGAGGGAAGAAAUGAUUUAGGGUUAAUACCCCUUGAUCUUGACGGUACCUCCGAAGGAAGCACCGGCUAACUCCGUGCCAGCAGCCGCGGUAUAUAA